rnacentral:rRNA from 1 species
CGCGUAGGCGGACUCUUAAGUCGGGGGUGAAAGCCCAGGGCUCAACCCUGGAAUUGCCUUCGAUACUGGGAGUCUUGAGUUCGGAAGAGGUUGGUGGAACUGCGAGUGUAGAGGUGAAAUUCGUAGAUAUUCGCAAGAACACCAGUGGCGAAGGCGGCCAACUGGUCCGAUACUGACGCUGAGGCGCGAAAGCGUGGGGAGGCAAAACA